CCUCCAACAUCCCUUCUUCUGGCGUCUUUCCCUAACCUGGAGUGGCACGUCCACCCCGGGGCAGGUGUAUUUCAAGGGGGUUCUGUAGAGAGAGCUCUUGCCCCCAAGGGAAGACGAGAUAAGAGGCGCAGAGAUAGGCUCGGUGCCCAGCGGUGCCAGGGAGAUUCCCAAGGGCUUCCUGGAAUUCGCCAGACAGCCGAAAAUGAAGUUUUCGUCUUCCUCCACAUCCCAAACCCGUGGCCCCCCAGGAGCAUUUCUAGAAUUCCUGGAGGCACCUGGCGCAAGUUGGAUGUAGCCUGGAGGAUAGACUCCGGAUUUCCAGGACUACGAAGUCCAGAGAUGAGGAUACCAGGCGAGCCCGCACAGUGACUCAGCUGCCGCCAGCACUCCUGGCUUCUGAGUCUGAUAGGAAAUCCAACGGCCUGGUUUCCCUUCCAUGUGAGAGGCCUUCAGCCUGUGUUCAGCCUGUCUCCAUCUCACCUUAAGACCUAGAGAACUGUCUGAAUCUUCUGGGCCUUCCUUGGACCUGGAGGGGGUUCCCUCCUUGAGAGGUUUGCUGGAGUUGAACCUCAAGACCAUUUCUGUAGAAAUGCCACUAGCCAGGGACAUCCUUAGUGGCCUUUGACCUGGCUAGCCCACCACACCCUUCCUCCAAGCCAAUCAACAGGUCUGGUGUGCAGGAAGAGAAAGCAGGUGUCACACGAAACACAGGAUGGCAUGGCUGAGUGGCAGUGUCCCUGCUUGGACCAGUGACAGCUCAACCUCCUGUUAGCAAAGGAACAUUUGUGUUGAUGUCUUUGGGGUCCAGUGAAAUGGAACCAUCUGGAAAUAGCAUGGGGAACAACACGUUUAAACUUAUCCCAAUAGGCUUCCACUUGGCUGGCAGACACAUCUAAGCAUCAGUUGCUGACUGCAACCUGCUCUGAAUGGUGGCGAGCCCUGGACUUCCUGAAAGCUGAUGCGGACCAGUCCAGCUGAUAUGAACAUGAACGCUCCCUGUCCCUUCAACAAAGUCUGAUGAGUGCUCCAUUGCCUAAAUGUCCCCUCACACACACACCUUUGGCUAGCCUUUCAUCCUGCUUGGACCCUGAUAACAAUGUCCCAAUGUCAGCUUGAAGUAGUUGUGGAAAGGAACAUGUUGCCCCAUGUCCCCUGCCCAAAAUAGGUUGAAAGGCUGAGACAAGGGGGAACUCUCUGGCAUGGGACAAGAUAACUACCUAUAGUGCCUGUUAAUAUAUUAGGUCCAGAGUUGUCAAUUAAUAGAUUUAUCAAUUUAAGUAGCUCCAUGCCUCCUAAAAACCAGGGCAAGCAGGACCCAAGAUUGGGUCCUGUCAUCGGUGCUUGUGAAGGGAGAAAUGUGGAAGCCAACCAUGAUAAGCUAAGUCUGGGCAGGUCAUGCAAAGGAAGUUCUUUCUUUCCAACCAUUAUCACCUGCCAGAGUAGGACUCAGCCGAUAAAUUUAAAUGGAGGUCUGAGUCUCAGUAUUUUACACUAAAGCAAUACCUGACUGCAAGAAGAACCACAAUUGAAAUUACCUGAGCACCACCCAAAAACAGAUCAUCCAAAGGAAAUGCCUAGCAUUUCAACCUCUGUAGAUAGGAUCACCUGCCAGCAUACAGUCACCAGGACACCCUAGACAAAUGUCAGCCAAUUAGGAGUCCUGAACAUCAGAAACCCCUCACCCCCAACUUUACUACU